AGAGCUGUAGCUCAAUAGUAGAGCACUUGUUAAGUAGGUAUGAGGUCCUGGGUUCAAUCCCCAGUAUCUUAA
rfam:Cavia porcellus supercont2_68 genomic scaffold, whole genome shotgun sequence.